GAUGAACGCUGGCGGCGUGCCUAAUACAUGCAAGUCGAGCGAACAGACGAGGAGCUUGCUCCUCUGACGUUAGCGGCGGACGGGUGAGUAACACGUGGAUAACCUACCUAUAAGACUGGGAUAACUUCGGGAAACCGGAGCUAAUCCCGGAUAAUAUAUUGAACCGCAUGGUUCAAUAGUGAAAGACGGUUUUGCUGUCACUUAUAGAUGGAUCCGCGCCGCAUUAGCUAGUUGGUAAGGUAACGGCUUACCAAGGCAACGAUGCGUAGCCGACCUGAGAGGGGGGUAGGCCACCCGAGAACGGGAGCGACGUCACUGAGACUAAGGGACGGCGCAGUAGGGAAAGGGACGCAAUGGGGGGAAAGCUUGCGGAACAAACGCGCGGGUGAUGCUGAAGCGCUCGGAGCGGAAAAACUGGUUUAUAGGGGAAAACCAAUUUUGAAGGUAACAAUGCCGGAUUGACGGUAACGAAUCAGAAAGCCACGGCUAACUACGUG
rnacentral:rRNA from 1 species